AUUAAUAACACAUAAUUGCCACACUUUGGGUGGGGCUAAAAGAUCGUUAACUACUCCAGCUUUUAGGAAAAAUCAAAGUGACGAUCCGUAACUAUUGAAUUUUUUUCCGUUUCGGAUUGUUGACAAGAAAUCAAUCAAAAGUCAGACAAAAGAGAGGGAGAUAGAACCCAAGUUUAAAACCUGGCCAGGGACAGUG